CUGCAUUCACUACACACACUGCAUCUACUAAUCAGACACUGCAUCUACUACAAAAACACAAACAUUAUGCAUGCACACACUGCAUCCCCUAAACAAACUGCAUUCACCACAGUCACUGCAUUAAAUAACGGAUGUGGGUAUGUUUUGGUGGGCUUGGUUUUGGUGAGGGGUGGUAGCAUUUCAUCCUUGGACCCAGGCAGUGCAAUGUCUUGGGCCGGCCCCAGCUGCAUCCAGACCACUUCACUUCACAUACUUAAGGGGAAACUAUACUGCCAGGAAAACAUUGGAUUGGCUUAAGUCAUCAAAAUUGUUCAUCUUGGCAAUAAGGGUGGGGCCAGCCACAGCGAG